CGUUGCGAGAUACCUAAUAUUAUUUAACGACACUGUAAUCAGACACUUUUAUUAUGCGCACUGUCAUGGAUCAGAAAAGCAAAGCGUUGAUAAAAGAAUUAAAAGCGGUAUUUGAACGAAGUUCAUAAAAUCUUGAAGUCGUAGGAAAGAUACAGUUUUACUACCAAACGCAAUUUAUUAAUUUAGAUCGUCGGCUUGGAUUUUUUUAUUUUUUUCUUUACUCCUAUUUAUCACACGACUCGUCAUAUUAUUAUCCCGUUGUAAAGAUUAUAAAUGCAAACAACUGAUCUGACUCGAAUGGUUCAAAAAUAUUUAUCACAAUUAUAUUCUUAUCUGCUUAUCUCCAGUUUUCGACUAUUUAUUCGUAUUCAUUUGAAAAAAUGUGUCACGUUGAAGGAAAAACAUUUCUGUCGAUAAGUUAGAUCAAAGAUUCGUCACUAGUCGGUAAAGAAGCUUGGACAAAAGUUAUCUUCAGUCUGCCAAGAAGUGGUCAAAAACGGUUAAAAGGUGGUGUUACAAGUGAGUGAAACCAGUGAAAUCCGUAUAUUAUUUUUUACGGAAAUCCACGUAAAGAGGACUUAUUGAUUUUUCCACGCGGACUUCCAACGCAUGGAUUGGACCACAUUUGUAACGGCUCGACUACAUCAAACGAGAUCAAAGGAAGUUAUUGCUGUAAUCACCCGGACAACGAGAAGGACACAUCGGACGCCGGCUUGACGGCCCGGCAGGCAGCUCUUGUCCCAUAAACAAACGGCCCGAAGGAGGUCGCCACUGUUCCCGUAGGACUGCCGGGUGACCGGGAUGAAUAUUUCACGGUACAUUCGCGGGAUUUGCCGAGGCUGUUUUCUUCCUGUUUCCCGAGACGAGAUUUUUUUCAACCCGUAUCACAUCGAGCCAUCAGAAAUUUUCGACAGUCCUCCGUGCGGUAUGGAGUCCGAAACACUGGUCUGAGUGACAGAAGAUGGUGGUUGAAUUAUUCAAGAUUUCCAGUCACCGAACCUGACGAUACCAUCUCCUUGGAGAACAUCUUGCUGCACGGUCUCGUAACUUCUAAGGCCACGAUUAUACGGGAUGGAUUUGAGGACCUUUGUGAUGUUUGGCAAAGGACGAAUCACUUCUUGCGGAUAACUGCACACACAAUCAUCAUUGAGGCAAGAAGAACCAAAAAUGUUUGGACUCGAAAAAACCAGUCAACUACGGCGAGAGCUUUCGCGGGUCAUUUUUACUCACAGGAUAACGAAUAAGUGCCUUUCACAGGUCUCGCAACGCAUCCAUGUGCAAACAUGAAAAUUACGUAAAUCGAAUUAAAACGAUAGUGUUGUUCCACCCUAUAAGACACCAUGUUUUGAAUAUUGGGCUAUGUAUUACCUGUAAAAUAAAAUACCAGACUGCGAUACUUCCUUUAUAUUAAAUAUCACAUUGCUAUAUUGACUGUACCCUAAGUUUUCACUACUGUACAAAUACAUAAAAAGCUGACGGUGAUGGGCGGGAAAUGAUCAACUUGAUUGAAGUUGAUGGUUCACUGAGUACUUGAACGGAGUCAUGAUUUUUCGACAAUUUCAAAUAUCAGAGCUAGCUCCUGAUAGAGGAUAAGCUCAAGCACGUUUCGAAAGGGUGCUGAAUCUGGUACUAGUGGCACCAUCCAUAGGGAAGCCUGAGAGACACCAUCCUGGCAUUCUGUCCUUAAAGUAGACACAUCGAUAACUGACCAGCAUUCGCCACCAAGAGAGCACGAGAUGAUCCAAAGCAUACUUAUCGUGUGGGAAGCUUUCUGUAAGAAAAUCGAUUCGGUCAACCCUUAGCAGACUGAUUGGACAUCAGAAAUUGCAGGAAACGCAGUCAUAGUAUUGAAGAAACGACCGCUGGUAUAAUACAAAUUGGAUAAAUUGUAAUUUAGUGGUUUAGUACUUAAAAUCCAGGUUACACUGAGUAGUGAAAAUACAAUAUCAUCCACAUCGUUUUCAGCAGAAGUGUAUUGCGCCUGUGCACGCUCGCAAGCGCGAACUUGAACGAUACUUACAAACUAAGAUCCUUAUGUAAGAUUUUUCAUACUCGGCUUAAGAUAAUGUAUGUUGCACUUCCGUGCUAUCAUAUGAUGGUCAAAUAUUUUAUCUAUUGUUCAAACAGAUUCGUAGCACUUGUUUUGUGUCUUGGAUUUGUGUAGUCUUUCAUAACAUGGAAAAAAUUGUACACUGACACCAAAAUACCUGUACUGAA